rnacentral:rRNA from 1 species
CCCGGGUCCCGUUGUUACACACCGCCCCGUCCAAGCCAUGGAAGCUGAGGGCAUCUAAAGUCGGUAGCCGCAAGGCGCUGCCUAGGGUGAAAUCGGUAACUGGGGCU